rnacentral:rRNA from 1 species
GUGGGGGAUAACCAUUGGAAACGAUGGCUAAUACCGCAUAAUACCUACGGGUCAAAGAGGGGGACCUUCGGGCCUCUCGCGUCAGGAUAUGCCUAGGUGGGAUUAGCUAGUUGGUGAGGUAAUGGCUCACCAAGGCGACGAUCCCUAGCUGGUCUGAGAGGAUGAUCAGCCACACUGGAACUGAGACACGGUCCAGACUCCUACGGGAGGCAGCAGUGGGGAAUAUUGCACAAUGGGCGCAAGCCUGAUGCAGCCAUGCCGCGUGUGUGAAGAAGGCCUUCGGGUUGUAAAGCACUUUCAGUCGUGAGGAAGGUAGUGUAGUUAAUAGCUGCAUUAUUUGACGUUAGCGACAGAAGAAGCACCGGCUAACUCCGUGCCAGCAGCCGCGGUAAUACGGAGGGUGCGAGCGUUAAUCGGAAUUACUGGGCGUAAAGCGCAUGCAGGUGGUUUGUUAAGUCAGAUGUGAAAGCCCGGGGCUCAACCUCGGAAUAGCAUUUGAAACUGGCAGACUAGAGUACUGUAGAGGGGGGUAGAAUUUCAGGUGUAGCGGUGAAA